CGAUGAGCUGAAAUAAUAAAGAUUGAUAUAAAAAAAUUUCUACCGUGGACAGGUUAUUUUUUUUAAAGCGAUCGUGGGCUUUGACGAUGUAGUGUUCAAAAUUUUCUCAAAGCUCGUCCGAACGAAGGUCGUUCGACGGGAUUUUUGACUAACUGUUGGAAAUUUUGGAUAAAUUUCACUUCGGUAAUUUCGGUGAUGAUCGGGUGGUGAAAUUUAAUCCUGCAACGGCGAUCGGGUGAAAGAUCGAACGGGUUUCGGGUAGCCGAUCGACCGACUCGUGCGCCGAUGACUGGGUUAAAAUUGGCGAAUAAAAAGCGCGUCGAUCCGUCGAUCAAAAACUCACCUUGAAUGCCAUGGUUGUCGUGUCUUGUGGAUGACUGAUACCGUCCAGAUCGGUGAGAAGCCUUUUAUACCAUUGUGCCGGGGGAAUUCUCACAGAGCGAGGCCGCGCCCCUUGCAAACAUUCACCCAAAACCGCGCGUCUUUCUCCUUCUCUUUUCCUUUUCUUCCUUCAGAUUUUUCCCCUCCAUCAUUCCUCCUCUUCUCCUCCACGGUCGUCCGUGGACCACGUGAAAUGACGUCGGGUAGUGCGGACGCAAUGCAAGUUAGUAUGGCGGUUCGUUGAUUGAUCAUUCGAAUAUUCGAUUGUCCCAAGUUCCCCACGAUCGUCAAACUCGAUCGAUUCUCAUUCAAAUUCGUACCCUCGGUAUAUCCAUGUAUGCGUUCCGUAAUUUGGGUCGAUUUAUAAAUCGACGCAAAAAUUAUUCAACGACGACCCAUUCGCCUCGUAAAUUUUGCCUAUCAAUCAGGCUGGCCGAUGAUCUUACGUAAAAAUUGUUGACAGUCGGCUCCAAACUGGUGUAGAGAAGAGCUGAUCGAGAGCAUCACGAGUUUGCUUUACGUAACUGUCGACUCUACGCUGUGAAGAAUUUUUUUUACUUCUUUCUCCCGUUUUUUGCACGCUGGAAAAUUAUACGUCCUACAAUCGAGUAAGAUGCUAUGGAAAAAAGAAGAAAUAAAAAUGUCAGUUCGGAGGGAAUGGAGAAAAAUCCAGAAUCGAGAUAAAAAGGUGAUUAUGCCUUGAUAAAAAAGUGGGAAACUUGAACCUGACGAAUUUGACUGACAAUCAUCGAAGCGUUCGCGAUUUUUAUCGCCUCAGGCAAAACCAGAUCGCCGUUUAUAUACCGAAAGCGAAACCUCCGUUAAAAAAAAAGCAGCCCGCAGGCAGCAGAUGGCUUCUAAGUAGUCGCAGUCGACGAGCAGACAGCCGGGCCGGCCCAUUCAUAGGCGAGACUACUCGCUGGUCAACCGAGUAAAGUUCCUCCAGACCACGCGUCGAUUCUGUCGGGAAAUUCUAGCACGUGGUGAGAAAAAUAAAGUGCGGAUCACACCCCUCUGGUUAUACCGACCAUUGUUCUGGCGAUAAACGAUUGAAACGUCAUCGCUGACAAUCAAUUACAUUGGAAAUAAAUAAUAAUCGAUUCGUCGACGAUAAUAACUAGGAUGUGGAGAUCACGGCAACAGAUAAAUAUACUGCAAUUAUCAAGGAACAUGCUAAUUCACGUUUCAGUUGUACAGCUCGGAUAUAAAUGACUAAAACUGCAAUCUAUGAGCGAAAAGGAAAGAAAAAAAGAUGGAAAAAUGAAGAGAAUUUUUAUAUCGAAUAUUCGCUAACUUCGGUGAUCGGUAAAUAAUUUUAUUUCGCAUUUUAAAAGGAUAAUUCGUAUUAACGGUUGAUCGUGCGUUACGUGGGAUGCUAUGUAUCGUACACGUAAUCUUAAUCUCGUUCGUUGAUUUAUGCGACGAGAAGCUGUCGCCAUGAUUGCGAAAUUAUGUCUCUCGAUUUAUAGUGGGUAUUGUAGAUGUACGUGUACGAGAGAUCGGUAGAAUUUUAUAUUGUUCGUAAACCGGUGUAUGUGGAUCGAGAAAGGUUCCCCGGGUACUCGUGUUUGAGCGCGUGUGCGUCACUCGGCACGUAUACGUUCGCGCGUGUUUUUAACGGCGUUAAAAGUGAGACGGCGAACGUCGAGUUGCAUAAUACACAACCGUAUUAUAAUUCGUGUGCGAAUAACAUUGAACCAGUGAAUUGCAGAAAGUGAUACGAUAAUUUAUGCCCCCGUUUCGAUCGACUGACAUUGAUCGCCGUCGCUUUUACUUGUUACAUCUUUCUCCGCGGAACGCAUCUGCGUCGUCCGAUUCCAAUUAAUAUUACGGCGCGUCCGCGACGCCGAAAAC